rnacentral:rRNA from 1 species
UAUCUCUGUAGAGUCUGCAUAUCAAUAAGCGGAGGAAAAGAAACUAACUAGGAUUCCCUCAGUAACGGCGAGUGAAGCGGGAAGAGCUCAAAUUUGAAAUCUUCAAGGUUCUACCUUGACGAAUUGUAGUUUAAAGAAGUGUUUUCUGUUGGAGUUUUGGUAAAAGUUCUUUGGAAUAGGACAUCAUAGAGGGUGAGAAUCCCGUAUUUGACCAUUAUUUCCAGCUUUGUGAUACACUUUCAAAGAGUCGGAUUGUUUGGGAAUGCAGUCCAAAAUGGGUGGUAAAUUUCAUCUAAAGCUAAAUAUUGGCGAGAGACCGAUAGCGAACAAGUACCGUGAGGGAAAGAUGAAAAGAACUUUGAAAAGAGAGUUAAACAGUACGUGAAAUUGUCAAAAGGGAAGCGUUUGACACCAGUGUUGUUUUCUCGAAAAUCAAUUAAAAAUGGCCGGAUUUUGUGUUGUAUUGACUUUAUCAGCUUUCUGCACUUUUUUCUUGUCUUUUUUAAUGCACUUUUCGUUUAACAAGUCAACAUCAAUUUCUUUUGUCGUAAAAGAGUCAUUGGAAGGUGGCUUUCACUUCGGUGAAAGUGUUUAUAGCCUUUGACUUCUGCAAUCGGAGAGAUUGAGGUCUGCAGCGUAGAUCCUUCGGGGUUAGAUACAUUUGUGCUAAGUUAUAGUUUUUCAUAGACAACAUGUUGACUAUGAUCAGUCAUGUAGCUUACUCGCUUAUGCUAUUUUACCUACGCUUAGGAUGUUGAUGUGAUACUGCGAGCA